AAGAAAGGAAAGAGAGGAGAAAGAGAAAAGAAAAGAGAGGAAAGAGAGAAGAAAGAAAGAGGAAGAAGAGAAAGAAAGAGGAGGAAGAAGGAAAAUAAAAAAUAUGAGAAUUCUCCAAGGAAUUGUGAGUUGGAUGCAUAUUCAAAAUAAGGGCAUGCAAUGCCAGGUAAGGGGACAUAACACCAAAAACCCUAACAGAUUUUAUUAUAAAUCUUUUAGAAAAAUGUUGGGGAUUUUAUAAAGAAUCCACUUACAUGAUUUUCAAUUGCACUUCCUUCCAUAUUUUAAUGCCAAGUUUUAUUCAAUCAUAUGUCAUUGUUUAAGAAUUUUACGUGUUACAAUUACCCUAUUUCAUGAUUUAUGCAUAACUGCAAUUAUGAAUGAAAAAAACUCUCAAAGUUUCAUGGCACAGAUAAGUUUACAGAUCAUAUGAAAUGUUAUAUGUUAUACAGUUACAGAUGAGUUUACAGAUUAUAUGAAAUGUUAUAUAUGCAUUCAUGGCACAAUAUACAGUUACAGAUGAGUUUACAGAUCAUAUGAAAUGUUAUAUGUGCAUUCAUGAUUAUAAAUGUUUAACCCGAGACACGAUUAUAGUGACGAUCGGUACCGCAUAGGGUAGCAUGGCAAGCACACCGAAGGAUGGUUACGAGAAGGUGUGUGCUACCGGCCAGGUGGCCUUCACCUAGGGAAGUUCCCAACCUGGUAGUUCUCCCCUGUGACGACAUGAUGAGCAUAUAGGUCCUUCGGGACAAGCCAACAUGCGCUGCUCACGAUUGCUUUAUAUAUCGUAGUACUGAAGACAUGGGUACCGGUGGGCCUCUUAGUUGUUAAAGAUCCUAUCGCUACUUUAUGGACUAGCAGGAGCAGUAGAAGUGUCUGGGACUCCAUUCUAUAGACUAGACGGCUUUGGAUAAGCUUAGACGGUGUAACUUUAUUGCUUAUAAGAUUAUUGAA